rnacentral:rRNA from 1 species
AGGUGCCCGUACCGCAAACCGACACAGGUAGGUAGGAAGAAGAUUCUAAGGCCAACGGGAGAAGGGUUGUUAAGGAACUCGGCAAGUUGACCCCGUAACUUCGGAAUAAGGGGUGCUCACGAGAGUGAGCCGCAGAGAAUAGGCCCAGGCAACUGUUUACCAAAAACACAGGUUUGUGCUAAAUCGAAAGAUGACGUAUACGAGCUGACGCCUGCCCGGUGCUGGAAGGUUAAAAGGAGAUGUGCAAGCAUUGAAUUGAAGCCCCAGUGAACGGCGGCCGUAACUAUAACGGUCCUAAGGUAGCGAAAUUCCUUGUCAGGUAAGUUCUGACCCGCACGAAUGGCGUAACGAUUUGGGCACUGUCUCAACAGCCCGCCCGGCGAAAUUGUAGUACCGGUGAAGAUGCCGGUUACCCGCGACAAGACGGAAAGACCCCAUGGAGCUUUACUGUAGCCUAAUAUUGGGUUUCGAUGUUGCAUGCACAGGAUAGAUGGGACACUGGGAAGCAGGUGCUUUGGCGCUUGUGGAGUGGCCGUUGGGAUACCAUCCUUGCGAUAUUGGAAUUCUAACCUGCGCCUUUGAAUCAAGGCGGGGGACAUUGUUAGGUGGGCAGUUUGACUGGGGCGGUCGCCUCCUAAAAAGUAACGGAGGCGUUCAAAGGUUCGCUCAGCUUGAACGGAAAUCAAGCAAAAGAGUGCAAACGCAGAAGCGAGCCUAACUGCGAGACUGACGGGUCGAGCAGUAACGAAAGUUGGAGUUAGUGAUCCGGUGGUAUGUGAGUGGAAAUGCCAUCGCUCAACGGAUAAAAGUUACCCUGGGGAUAACAGGCUGAUCUCCCCCAAGAGUCCACAUCGACGGGGAGGUUUGGCACCUCGAUGUCGGCUCAUCGCAUCCUGGGGCUGUAGUCGGUCCCAAGGGUUGGGCUGUUCGCCCAUUAAAGCGGUACGCGAGCUGGGUUCAGAACGUCGUGAGACAGUUCGGUCCCUAUCUGUCGUGGGCGCAGGAUAUUUGAUGGGAGCUGUUCCUAGUACGAGAGGACCGGAGCGGACGUACCUCUGGCGCACCAGUUGUUCUGCCAAGAGCAUAGCUGGGCAACUAUGUACGGAUCGGAUAAACGCUGAAAGCAUCUAAGCGUGAAGCCGACCCAAAGAUAAGAUAUCCCAUUGUUUCAAACAAGUAAGACCCCUUGAAGACUACAAGGUUGAUAGGCACGAUGUGUAAGUGGAGCGAUCCAUUCAGCAAGCGUGUACUAAUAGGUCGAGGGCUUGACCAC